rnacentral:rRNA from 1 species
AUUCCAGCUCCAAUAGCGUAUAUUAAAGUUGUUGUGGUUAAAAAGCUCGUAGUUGGAUUUCGGUGGGUACAGGUUGGUUUGAAUUGCUUCAAUACUGACUUUUUUACCCGUGUGUUUUGCCAGAAUUUAACGGGAGAUCUUCGCCGAUUGUCUGUUAGAACUGACAGGUUUACUUUGAAAAAAUUAGAGUGCUCAAAGCAAGCUUGAUUGCUUGAAUAUUCGUGCAUGGAAUAAUAGAAUAGGAAGUCGUUUCUAUUUUGUUGGUUUUCGGAAAUCGACUUAAUGAUUAAUAGGGACAGUCGGGGGCAUUUGUAUUCAAACGACAGAGGUGAAAUUCUUGGACCGUUUGAAGACAAACUACUGCGAAAGCAUUUGCCAAGAAUGUUUUCAUUA